rnacentral:lncRNA from 1 species
UGAAGUACCUUUAGGAUUUUUUUGAUUUACUUUUCUACUUCACAUCUGAAUUCUUUGAACAUUUCAAAAUCUUUAGAUUUAUAUCUCAUACAUAUACCUAUACCAUGACUAAUCAUCAGUAAAGGUGAUGAAGUAGUGAUAACCUUCUAGUCUAGCUCAUUAAAUGGGCUAUGCACAUCGUAUGUGUACCAAGAUAAGUAUCUCAAUGG